rnacentral:rRNA from 1 species
GCUUAACGCGAAGAACCUUACCAAGGCUUAAAUGGGAAACGACGGAUCUGGAAACAGGUCUUCCUUCGGGCGUUUUUCAAGGUGCUGCAUGGUUGUCGUCAGCUCGUGCCGUGAGGUGUCAGGUUAAGUCCUAUAACGAGCGCAACCCCUGUUGUUAGUUGCCAGCGAGUCAAGUCGGGAACUCUAGCAAGACUGCCGGUGCAAACCGUGAGGAAGGUGGGGAUGACGUCAAAUCAUCACGGCCCUUACGCCUUGGGCUACACACGUGCUACAAUGGACGGUACAGAGAGCAGCCAGUGGGUGACCACGAGCGAAUCUACAAAACCGUUCUCAGUUCGGAUCGGAGUCUGCGACUCGACUCCGUGAAGCUGGAAUCGCUAGUAAUCGGAUAUCAGCCAUGAUCCGGUGAAUACGUUCCCGGGUCUUGUACACACCG